UACGUAGGGGGCAAGCGUUGUCCGGAAUUAUUGGGCGUAAAGCGUCCGCAGGUGGUUAAUCAAGUCUGCUGUCAAAAUGCGAGGCUCAACUUCGUAAAGGCAGUGGAAACUGAUGAACUAGAGCAUGGUAGGGGUAGAGGGAAUUCCCGGUGUAGCGGUGAAAUGCGUAGAUAUCGGGAAGAACACCAGUGGCGAAAGCGCUCUACUGGGCCAUGACUGACACUGAGGGACGAAAGCUAGGGGAGCGAAAGGG
rnacentral:rRNA from 1 species